AUUACCUCAGUAUACAUUUUCAUAAUGAGUUAAUGGUCUCAAUCGCUAAUUUCAAGUCUUCUUCAAUACAGCAUGAUGUUAAUUUUGUAAACUAUGGUCCCAUGUAUGUUAAAGUAGACAAUUAGACAGGGCAUGCUUUAGGGGCGUGGCUGUUAAUCAGGACGGAGACUUAGCAAUGGUAACCAUGGCACU